rnacentral:rRNA from 1 species
UGGGGAAUAUUGGACAAUGGGCGCAAGCCUGAUCCAGCCAUACCGCGUGGGUGAAGAAGGCCUUCGGGUUGUAAAGCCCUUUUGUUGGGAAAGAAAUCCAGCCGGCUAAUACCUGGUUGGGAUGACGGUACCCAAAGAAUAAGCACCGGCUAACUUCGUGCCAGCAGCCGCGGUAAUACGAAGGGUGCAAGCGUUACUCGGAAUUACUGGGCGUAAAGCGUGCGUAGGUGGUCGUUUAAGUCCGUUGUGAAAGCCCUGGGCUCAACCUGGGAACUGCAGUGGAUACUGGGCGACUAGAGUGUGGUAGAGGGUAGCGGAAUUCCUGGUGUAGCAGUGAAAUGCGUAGAGAUCAGGAGGAACAUCCAUGGCGAAGGCAGCUACCUGGACCAACACUGACACUGAGGCACGAAAGCGUGGGGAGCAAACAGGAUUAGAUACCCUGGUAGU